rnacentral:rRNA from 1 species
UACAGAGGUCUCAAGCGUUGUUCGGAUUCAUUGGGCGUAAAGGGUGUGUAGGUGGCGCCGUAAGUCGGGUGUGAAAUUUCGAGGCUUAACCUCGAAACUGCAUUCGAUACUGCGGUGCUUGAGGACUGGAGAGGAGACUGGAAUUCAUGGUGUAGCAGUGAAAUGCGUAGAUAUCGUAAGGAAGACCAGUGGCGAAGGCGGGUCUCUGGACAGUUCCUGACGCUGAGGCACGAAGGUCAGGGGAGCAAACGGG